rnacentral:rRNA from 1 species
UACGGAGGAUGCGAGCGUUAUCCGGAUUUAUUGGGUUUAAAGGGUGCGCAGGCGGAAUGUCAAGUCAGCGGUAAAAUUGCGGGGCUCAACCCCGUCGAGCCGUUGAAACUGGCAGACUUGAGUUGGAGAGAAGUAUGCGGAAUGCGUGGUGUAGCGGUGAAAUGCGUAGAUAUCAGGAGGAACACCGGUGGCGAAGGCGGCCUGCUGGACUGCAACUGACGUUGAGGCCCGAAAGCGUGGGGAGCAAACAGG